rnacentral:rRNA from 1 species
UACGUAGGGGGCAAGCGUUGUCCGGAAUUAUUGGGCGUAAAGAGCGUGUAGGCGGCCAGAUAAGUCCGCUGUGAAAUCUCGAGGCUCAACUUCGAGCUGUCGGUGGAAACUAUCUGGCUAGAGUCCGGAAGAGGAGAAUGGAAUUCCUGGUGUAGCGGUGAAAUGCGCAGAUAUCAGGAAGAACACCCGUGGCGAAGGCGGUUUUCUGGGACGGUACUGACGCUGAGACGCGAAAGCGUGGGGAGCGAACGGG